UAACAGGGAUUGCUUGCAAUCCACUGACGACCGGCGCACGGGUGCGUAACGCGUAUGCAACCUACCUUCUACAGGGGGAUAGUCAAAUAGAAAAUGUUGAAUAAUACCCCCAUACGAUCAUGAAAUUCGCAUGGAUUUAUGAGGAAAGUUCCGGCGGUAGAAGAUGGGCAUGCGUCCUAUUAGUUAGUUGGUAAGGUAACGGCUUACCAAGACAUCGAUAGGUAGGGGUCCUGAGAGGGAGAUCCCCCACACUGGUACUGAGACACGGACCAGACUCC
rnacentral:rRNA from 1 species